UAGGGAUAGAUGUUUCUACGAAAUCAUAGAUUUCGGAACACUAGCAUAUGCGAAAUGGACGUGAAGGACUGAAAAUUAUACAGCGCACCCCCGGGUGCGCUGAAUACGCUCUCGUGAAGGACAUGACAAACAAUCUAUUCCUUGAUUUCUCGCAUGACAAACUAUUGUCAUCUUGACCCCUCAUUUCAUGUAUGAAACUGAUGGAGAUUCUCAACUAAUUCAAAUGUAGGAAAUCCAAAAGGAGGUCGGCAAUCAUGUAUCAAUAGAUUCAAUACAAGGAUAGAGUUUGGUAUCAUUUGCAUGUGAGAUGUCCUUGAGGAUGAGGGAACUUCAGUAGGAAGACAAACCCAUGUGGUUUCUCACAAGCCAGUAUAUCCCUACCUCAGCGCCUCGUCCCAAUCAUUCAUGUACAAGAUGAAUUUCCACAUAUCCUUGCAGCUAUAUAUACACAUGAAUUAUCAGUUCAUGAGCAACUCAAGUCUUCUCCUUCCUAAGCAUCACAGCUUUCUUUUCUUUCCUCUAGUCCUUAAAAUUACUUUUCUUCCUCCUUUGUUUCGAAAUAUAGAAAUCAUGGGUCUACGCUUUCCUGGAAUUACUAAGACAACUUCAAUCCCGAAAGGCUUUUUUGCAGUAUACGUGGGAGAGAGUCAGAAGAAGCGAUUUGUGAUUCCAAUCUCUUUUUUGAACCAGCCUUUAUUCCAGGAUUUGUUGAGUCAAGCUGAAGAAGAAUUUGGAUACAAUCAUCCAAUGGGCGGUAUCACUAUUCCAUGCAGUGAAGACACCUUCCUUGACCUUACUUCCCGUUUAAGUUUGUGAGUGAAUGCUUGUGAUUUGAACCUGGGAUCACAAGUACCGUCCUCGUUUUAGAACUAGCUGCUGAGUCAAGAGGACGAUGAGGCAAAUGUUGAUCAUCAAUCGAAUAGUCUCACAUUUUUUGCUCAGGGGAAACUUCUGCAAUUCUCAAGUUGUCUGCAAGAUGGGCGAGAAAGUUUAUGAAUCAGAGAGUGACAUGACAACAUGAGCUCACAUAAAUCACAUUCAUCCCAACAUCAUAACUCUAGUUUAGAAUUCAAAAGCGGUCAAAUUUUGUAUUACUUGACCGUUUUAAUCAUAUGUAAAAUUCAAUUUUGGCUCUGCAGAGAAUAUAUGGUAAUAAAUAUCAUAUUAUAAUUUUCAUCUCAUGUUUUUUAUAUUCUUAAUUAUGCAAUUCCCUACAGAGGUAUAUAUGGUUAUUUACUUUACCUUAUUCAUCAAGGUACCUGGCAAUUCAUGUCCACUUCAACUCAUAUAUAUUCUAAAUACAGUCAUAAUGUUUGCAGCUCCAGCAUUUUGAACUAGUAAUUUCAGUUGGCACUUCAUAUCAACAGCACAAUGUUUCUCUAGCAAAAGACAUACUGUAACUAAAUACAAAACUGUUGUCAUAGAUUACAUCCCUACUUACGCCAGCUAUAUGAGCCAUAGUAAACUAUGCAUAAGGUCAUUGUACAAAACUGAUGAAAACUGAGAUAAAAAUAAACAAGGAAACUGUCAAGUGUAGUAUUAACCUUUUACAUUUUGAGAAUCCACAGAAGGAAGUAUAUAAUUACUAUCUGAUUGACAAGACAUCUUAGACAUAUGGGACACAAACUAGCUGGUCUCUAUGUCUUAAGAGGGAGACUCAACGAAUGCUAAGUUUUUGUUUUUAUUUUUUUUAUGAUCUGAAGACAGAACCGUGUGAUCUUCAAAUGCUCAUGUCUCCCUUGUUUAUAUUCAUACUUGCAACUCCCUUGUUUAAAUUUUGUAGAAAGACUUCAGCAGGUUACAUAUUGAGAUCGAUCAAUCAAAUAAUUCCUUAUCCUCCAAUAUUUAAAUAAAAAUGCUUGAAAUAUCUGAAAAUCUGUACCUGUUGAUGGUGGGCAGUCUAUAACUUUCUAGAUUGAUCAUCGAAACUCUUCAUCAGCUUGUUGACAAUGGAGACAGAAAUGAAACAACAAACCCACAUGCUAGCCUAGAGUUGCUGAUCCCAGUAUAUAACAUCAUUCAUAUCUGACCACAUAUGGAGCUGUUAAUAUAGUACCACAAAUUCUUGUCUGUACAGCAUCUCCAUCUAUCAGUGCUGAGUAG
rnacentral:lncRNA from 1 species